AUGCGCGCCUUCACCAGCUCCGUCGAGGGUCUCCUGGGCUCCCGAGCUCGCCGGAGGGUCAGCAGCCUCAGGCUCGAGUUCUUCAUCACGGGCAACACCGGCUGCGUCAACCGGCUGAUUUCCCAGGCCAUGGAUGCUUGGGGUGUCGACGACCUCGAGGUCAUCGCCCGGCCGACAUUCCGGCAGCAGACCGUGCACGCCUUCCCUAGCCAUGGCCUCUGCUCCUCGCCCCGGUUGUCACGCCUGCAAAACCUCAAGCUUGGGGGCUGUGUCAUCCCGCAUCUGCUGCAUGAGUACCACGCGCUCACUAGGCUCGUCCUGCAAGCCGAGUCACCCCCGGCCGCCUACGAGGGCGUCUUCGCCUCCUGCCCGCAGCUGCAGGUGGUGCACCUCAACUCCUGUCUCUGCGGCGGCAGGGACAUGGUCAUGGUUGUGGAUGCCCCCAGCUCGCAGAUCAGGGAGUUCGUCGUGGACAAGUGUGAAAUAGGAUCAAUAUGGUUGAGGGCUCUUCCCAAUCUGGAGCGUCUGGCAUCCCUGGGCACACACCUGUUCUUCGAGUCCACCGCAUUCCCAUGCCUAAGGCAAUGGAGCCUCGCCCGCCGCCACGGUGUCUCCUUGGAUGGGUUUCGACAACACUUUCGGCAGCACCUGGAGCUUGACUUGUUUCUUGAACACACCCCGGACAUUACCGACCUGAUCAUCCGGUUCACGGGGCCCGACAGAUGGAUCGUGCCAUCUAUCUCACCAUCCGUUUUGUUACCUAACCUGAGGCGGCUGUUGGUCGCUGAUGUGCCUUCGUCCUGGGACGUCUCUUGGCCCCGUCUUCUCUUUGAGACGGCGCCUUGCCUCGAGAGUUUUCACAUCCACAUUGCCUCUUGCAUGGAGGAGCCCAGUCCCAGUGAAGAAAUAUCCUGGUGUCCGACAAAGUUUCGGCAGCAUCGCUUGAAGGAGUUUGUGAUGGCUGGUUUUGAGGCAACAGAAAGGCAGAUUUACCUUGUCAAGUUUGUCAUGGCCGUAUGCACGGCGUUGCGUCAUGUCAGCAUGUUCAAGAAUGGGCAUGUUCAGGACAAGGGGCACUGGGAAUGGGAGAUGGUGACACAGCAACACUCAUGGACUGAGGAGGACAAGGACGACACGCUCAAGCAGAUUAUGGGCACGGCAUCUUCAACAGCAGCUCCGGUUCAACUGGUUUUAGGCUGA
rnacentral:rRNA from 1 species